AUUUUGCAAAAUACAUUCCACACACGCGUCGGCACAUUGAGCUGGGUGCCCUUUGGGGUCACUGAAUGGGGCGCGUGGAGGCUCAAA
rnacentral:sRNA from 1 species